rnacentral:rRNA from 1 species
UGGGGAAUCUUGGACAAUGGGGGCAACCCUGAUCCAGCGACGCCGCGUGGAUGAAGAAGGCCUUAGGGUUGUAAAGUCCUUUCACCGGGGAGGAUGAUGACGUUACCCGGAGAAGAAGCACCGGCUAACUCCGUGCCAGCAGCCGCGGUAAGACGGAGGGUGCUAGCGUUGUUCGGAAUCACUGGGCGUAAAGGGCGCGUAGGCGGGGUAUCAAGUUAGGGGUGAAAGCCCGGGGCUCAACCUCGGAACUGCCUUUAAAACUGAUACUCUAGAGUCCGGAAGAGCGUCGCGGAAUUCCCAGUGUAGAGGUGAAAUUCGUAGAUAUUGGGAAGAACACCGGUUGCGAAGGCGGCGACCUGGUCCGGUACUGACGCUGAGGCGCGAAAGCGUGGGGAUCAAACAGGAUUAGAUACCCGGGUAGUCC